GACGAACGCUGGCGGCGUGCUUAACACAUGCAAGUCGAACGGAAAGGCCCCGCUUUUGGGGGGUGCUCGAGGGGCGAGCGGGUGUGAUACGCGAGUGUACCCUGCUUUAGACUGUGGGAUACCUUCAGAAAAGUGUGGAAUAUAGCGUAUAGGAUCUCCCGCUGCAUGGGGGGGGUGGGAGAGUUUCGGCGGUUGUGGAUGGGCUCGCGGCUUAUCAGCUUGUUGGUGGGGUAGUGGCUUACCAAGGCUUUGACGGGUAGCCGGCCUGAGAGGGUGACCGGGCACACUGGGACUGAGAGACGGCCCACACUCCCACGGGGGGGAGCAGUGGGGAAAAUUGCACAAUGGGGGGGAGCCUGAUGCAGAGACGCCGCGGGGGGGAUGACGGGCUUUGGGUUGUAAACCCCUUUUAGCCGGGAAGAAGCCACAAGUGACGGUAACUGGAGAAAAAGCGCCGGCUAACUACGUG
rnacentral:rRNA from 1 species